rnacentral:lncRNA from 1 species
GAGACAUUUUAUAACACCCUCAGUCACUCUGAAGACAAGGAAUAGGAAGAAACAGACUUGGAGUAGAACACACUGCCAACCAAGCUCUGUCCUCUCCCCUUCCUGCACCUCUUCCUGCUGCCAUCUCUCCACCACGUUGCCCGGCCUCUGUCCUCGCCCAGGUUUCACCUGAUGCCAGGGACCCCUCUGGCAGCCUGCUUACCACUAGGCCACCUUGCCCCAGACCUGCCGCUCUCUAGUCCAUGCUCCAUGGUGUGCGCAGAGGGAUUUUUCUAACACAGAAUCUUACCGUGUCACCAGGCCAUUACAGACAUUAAUAGCUCCACAUGCCCCUAGCACAGCCUCUUCCUCCCCAGGCCGGCCACUCAUACUCCAUUCUCAGCCACAUUCUGCUCCUUGGCCUGUGGAGAGGCCAUUUUCUCUGCCC